rnacentral:rRNA from 1 species
AUACGGAGGGUGCAAGCGUUAUCCGGAAUUACUGGGCGUAAAGCGCGUGUAGGUGGUUAUGCAAGUCAUUUGUGAAAGCUCCCGGCUAAACUGGGAGAGGUCAGGUGAGACUGCAUGGCUAGAGGGCAAUAGAGGGGUGCGGAAUUCCGGGUGUAGUGGUGAAAUGCGUAGAUAUCCGGAGGAACACCAGAGGCGAAGGCGGCACCCUGGGUUGUACCUGACACUGAGACGCGAAAGCAUGGGUAGC